rnacentral:rRNA from 1 species
UUCGCAAUGCCCGAAAGGGUGACGAAGCGACGCCGCGUGUGGGAAGAAGGCCUUCGGGUUGUAAACCGCUGUUGGGAGUUAGGAAGUGUGGGAGUGUUAAUAGCGCUUCCACUUGACUAAAGCUCCAGAGGAAGCCACGGCUAACUCUGUGCCAGCAGCCGCGGUAAUACAGAGGCGGCAAGCGUUGUUCGGAAUUAUUGGGCGUAAAGGGCACGUAGGCGGCUAUAUAAGUCGGUUGUGAAAGCCUUCCGCUCAACGGGAGAACAGCAUCCGAUACUGUAUGUCUUGAGUGUGGGAGGGGAGAGCGGAACUUCUGGUGGAGCGGUGAAAUGCGUAGAUAUCAGAAGGAACGCCGGCGGCGAAAGCGGCUCUCUGGCCCAUAACUGACGCUGAGUGUGCGAAAGCUAGGGGAGCAAACGGGAUUAGAUACCCCGGUAGUCCUAGCCGUAAACGAUGGGCACUAAGUAGAGGGGUUUU